AAGGGUGCAAGAGGCAUUCGAUAUUGGAUCUCUGAUUUUAGGACCGAACGGGUGGUGCAAUGGGAAGGAAGAAAGGUGGGAGGCAGGAAGCAAUACUCUGCAAGGCUCGCUGUUAGAUGUGGCAGGAAGCAGAAUUCAAAGUGGAUGUGUCAGAAUACCUUGGGCCACUGCUGUUCGUAAGAGUGCAGAAAUGGCAUUAUCUCACGGAUGACGCCUGGUUCUGCAACUGGAUUUCUGUGAAGGGCCCCGGAGACCAAGGAUCAGAGUACAUGUUCCCCUGUUACCGAUGGGUUCAGGGCAGAAGCAUCCUGAGCCUCCCUGAGGGCACUGGCUGCACCGUGGUUGA
rnacentral:lncRNA from 1 species